AGAGUUUGAUCCUGGCUCAGGAUGAACGCUAGCGGCAGGCCUAACACAUGCAAGUCGAGGGGUAGAGGGUGCUUGCAUCCUUGAGACCGGCGCACGGGUGCGUAACGCGUAUGCAACCUGCCUUCCACAGGGGAAUAGCCCAGAGAAAUUUGGAUUAAUGCCCCAUGGCACAUCGAGACGGCAUCGUCUUGGUGUUAAAGUAACAACGGUGGAAGAUGGGCAUGCGUCCCAUUAGCUAGUUGGUAAGGUAACGGCUUACCAAGGCUAUGAUGGGUAGGGGUCCUGAGAGGGAGAUCCCCCACACUGGUACUGAGACACGGACCAGACUCCUACGGGAGGCAGCAGUGAGGAAUAUUGGUCAAUGGUCGCAAGACUGAACCAGCCAUGCCGCGUGCAGGAUGACGGUCCUAUGGAUUGUAAACUGCUUUUGUACGGGAAGAAACACUCCUACGUGUAGGGGCUUGACGGUACCGUAAGAAUAAGGAUCGGCUAACUCCGUGCCAGCAGCCGCGGUAAUAC
rnacentral:rRNA from 1 species